rnacentral:sRNA from 1 species
AUCGGCAAUGCUUGAGAGCGCUGGAACGCGUCUGUCGCUCGCAAUUGCCAUCAUCGCCUGCUGCUUUUGACCACGGAUGUACUGGCACUGGCGAACAGAGCGAUGUCAGGAAGGUCGGUGCUUUUGCUCCGGCCUUUUUUGUU